AUUGAACGCUGGCGGCAUGCUUUACACAUGCAAGUCGAACGGCAGCACGGACUUCGGUCUGGUGGCGAGUGGCGAACGGGUGAGUAAUACAUCGGAACGUGCCCAGUUGUGGGGGAUAACUACUCGAAAGAGUAGCUAAUACCGCAUGAGAACUGAGGUUGAAAGCAGGGGAUCGUAAGACCUUGCGCAACUGGAGCGGCCGAUGGCAGAUUAGGUAGUUGGUGGGAUAAAAGCUUACCAAGCCGACGAUCUGUAGCUGGUCUGAGAGGACGACCAGCCACACGGGGACUGAGACACGGCCCAGACUCCUACGGGAGGCAGCAGUGGGGAAUUUUGGACAAUGGGCGAAAGCCUGAUUCAGCAAUGCCGCGUGCAGGAUGAAGGCCUUCGGGUUGUAAACUGCUUUUGUACGGAACGAAAAGCUUCGGGUUAAUACCCUGGAGUCAUGACGGUACCGUAAGAAUAAGCACCGGCUAACUACGUGCCAGCAGCCGCCGUAA
rnacentral:rRNA from 1 species